GGAGGUGUCGCCUAGUACGGUCUAUGGCGCCCGCCUGCUAAGCGGGUUGGGGGUUUAAAGCCCCCUCGCGGGUUCAAAUCCCGCCACCUCCGCCG
rnacentral:tRNA from 1 species